rnacentral:rRNA from 1 species
GACAGAGGGUGCAAACGUUGUUCGGAAUUACUGGGCGUAAAGCGAGUGUAGGCGGUCUGAAAAGUCGGAUGUGAAAGCCCCGGGCUCAACCUGGGAAUGGCAAUGGAUACUGGCAAGCUAGAGUGCGGUAGAGGGUAGUGGAAUUCCCGGUGUAGCGGUGAAAUGCGUAGAGAUCGGGAGGAACACCAGUGGCGAAGGCGGCUACCUGGACCAGCACUGACACUGAGGCACGAAAGCGUGGGGAGCAAACAGG